rnacentral:rRNA from 1 species
GGGUCAGUAGGUUGGUCGUGCCACCGGUACGUACUGGUCUCACUGAUUCCUCCUUCCUGAAGAACCGUAAUGCCAUUAAUUUGGUGUUGCGGGGAAACAGGACUGUUACUUUGAAAAAAUUAGAGUGUUUAAAGCAAGCUAACGCUUGAAUAAAUUAGCAUGGAAUAAUGAAAUAGGACGAUCGAUCCUGUUUUGUUGGUUUCUAGGAUUGACGUA